AUUGAACGCUGGCGGCAUGCCUUACACAUGCAAGUCGAACGGCAGCGCGGGGCAACCUGGCGGCGAGUGGCGAACGGGUGAGUAAUAUAUCGGAACGUGCCCUGGAGUGGGGGAUAACGUAGCGAAAGUUACGCUAAUACCGCAUACGAUCUAAGGAUGAAAGUGGGGGAUCGCAAGACCUCAUGCUCCUGGAGCGGCCGAUAUCUGAUUAGCUAGUUGGUGGGGUAAAAGCCUACCAAGGCGACGAUCAGUAGCUGGUCUGAGAGGACGACCAGCCACACUGGAACUGAGACACGGUCCAGACUCCUACGGGAGGCAGCAGUGGGGAAUUUUGGACAAUGGGGGGCAACCCUGAUCCAGCAAUGCCGCGUGUGUGAAGAAGGCCUC
rnacentral:rRNA from 1 species